rnacentral:rRNA from 1 species
CCCAGACUCCUACGGGAGGCAGCAGUGGGGAAUAUUGGGCAAUGGGCGCAAGCCUGACCCAGCAACGCCGCGUGAAGGAAGAAGGCCCUCGGGUUGUAAACUUCUUUUAUUCGGGACGAAACAAAUGACGGUACCGAAUGAAUAAGCCACAGCUAACUACGUGCCAGCAGCCGCGGUAAUACGGAGGAUGCGAGCGUUAUCCGGAUUUAUUGGGUUUAAAGGGUGCGCAGGCGGCACGGCAAGCCGGCGGUCAAAUCGCGGGGCUCAACCCCGCCCAGCCGUCGGAACUGCCGGGCUAGAGUGGGCGAGAAGUGCGCGGAAUGCGUGGUGUAGCGGUGAAAUGCAUAGAUAUCACGCAGAACUCCGAUUGCGAAGGCAGCGCACCGGCGCCCUACUGACGCUGAGGCACGAAAGCGUGGGUAUCGAACAGGAUUAGAUACCCGGGUA